rnacentral:rRNA from 1 species
AGAGUUUGAUCCUGGCUCAGAGCGAACGUUAGCGGCGCGCUUAACACAUGCAAGUCGAACGAGAAAAUCCCUUCGGGGGUGAGUACAGUGGCGCACGGGUGAGGAACGCGUAGGUAAUCUACCCUCUGGCGGGGGACAACACUCCGAAAGGAAUGCUAAUACCGCGUAAGACCACACCUACUACGGUAGGAGCGGUUAAAGGUGCCUCAAAGCACCACCAGAGGAUGAGCCUGCGUCCCAUCAGCUUGUUGGUAAGGUAACGGCUUACCAAGGCGAAGACGGGUAGCUGGUCUGAGAGGAUGAUCAGCCACACUGGCACUGGAACACGGGCCAGACUCCUACGGGAGGCAGCAGUGAGGAAUAUUGGGCAAUGGGCGCAAGCCUGACCCAGCCACGCCGCGUGAGUGAUGAAGGCCUUCGGGUCGUAAAGCUCUGUGGGGAGGGACGAAAAAUUUCGGGCUAAUAGGCCCCAGCCUUGACGGUACCUCCUUAGCAAGCACCGGCUAACUCUGUGCCAGCAGCCGCGGUAACACAGAGGGUGCGAACGUUGCUCGGAAUUACUGGGCGUAAAGCGCGUGUAGGCGGACUCGUAAGUCGGGUGUGAAAUCCCUGGGCUCAACCCAGGAACUGCAUUCGAAACUGCGUGUCUUGAGUGAUGGAGAGGGUAGUGGAAUUUCCGGUGUAGCGGUGAAAUGCGUAGAGAUCGGAAGGAACAUCAGUGGCGAAGGCGGCUAUUUGGACCAAUACUGACGCUGAGGUGCGAAAGCGUGGGGAGCAAACAGGUAGAUACCCUGGUAGUCCACGCCGUAAACGAUGUCAACUAGCCGUUGGGAGACUUGAUUUCUUAGUGGCGCAGCUAACGCACUAAGUUGACCGCCUGGGGAGUACGGCCGCAAGGUUAAAACUCAAAUGAAUUGACGGGGGCCCGCACAAGCGGUGGAGCAUGUGGUUUAAUUCGAUGCAACGCGAAGAACCUUACCAGGUCUUGACAUCCUGCGAAUUUUCUAGAGAUAGAUUAGUGCCUUCGGGAACGCAGUGAUAGGUGCUGCAUGGCUGUCGUCAGCUCGUGUCGUGAGAUGUUGGGUUAAGUCCCGUAACGAGCGCAACCCUUGUCCUUAGUUGCCAGCACGUAAUGGUGGGAACUCUAAGGAGACUGCCGGUGACAAACCGGAGGAAGGUGGGGACGACGUCAAGUCAUCAUGGCCCUUACGACCUGGGCUACACACGUGCUACAAUGGCCGGUACAGAGGGUUGCUAAGCCGCAAGGUGGAGCUAAUCCCAGAAAACCAGUCGUAGUCCGGAUUGGAGUCUGCAACUCGACUCCAUGAAGUCGGAAUCGCUAGUAAUCGCGAAUCAGAAUGUCGCGGUGAAUACGUUCCCGGGCCUUGUACACACCGCCCGUCACACCAUGGGAGUGGGUUGCAAAAGAAGUGGGUAGACUAACCUUCGGGAGGUCGCUCACCACUUUGUGAUUCAUGACUGGGGUGAAGUCGUAACAAGGUAGCC